rfam:Sorghum bicolor cultivar BTx623 chromosome 3, whole genome shotgun sequence.
GUAGUCGGAUUCACAUCAAUCCACAUAUGUUGAGGUGGAUUGGAGUGGAUUUUAAACUAAAUUCCACCCCAAUCUACACCAACGCACAUGGAUUGAAGUGAUUCGACA